rnacentral:lncRNA from 1 species
GCUGACUCUCUUUUCGGACUCAGCCCGCCUGCACCCAGGUGAAAUAAACAGCCUCGUUGCUCACACAAAGCCUGUUUGGUGGUCUCUUCACACGGACGCGCAUGAAAUUUGGUGCCGUGACUCGGAUCGGGGGACCUCCCUUGGGAGAUCAAUCCCCUGUCCUCCUGCUCUUUGCUCCGUGAGAAAGAUCCACCUACGACCUCAGGUCCUCAGACCAACCAGCCCAAGAAACAUCUCACCAAUUUCAAAUCCGGUAAGCGGCCUCUUUUUACUCUGUUCUCCAACCUCCCUCACUAUCCCUCAACCUCUUUCUCCUUUCAAUCUUGGCGCCACACUUCAAUCUCUCCCUUCUCUUAAUUUCAAUUCCUUUCAUUCUCUGGUAGAGACAAAAGAGACAUGUUUUAUCCGUGAACCCAAAACUCCGGCGCCGGUCACGGACUGGGAAGGCAGUCUUCCCUUGGUGUUUAAUCAUUGCAGGGACGCCUCUCUGAUUUCACGUUUCAGACCACGCAGGGAUGCCUGCCUUGGUCCUUCACCCUUAGCGGCAAGUCCCGCUUUCCUGGGGCAGGGGCAAGUACCCCUCAACCCCUUCUCCUUCACCCUUAGCGGCAAGUCCCGCUUUUCUGGGGCAGGGGCAAGUACCCCUCAACCCCUUCUCCUUCACCCUUAGCAGCAAGUCCCGCUUUCCUAGGGGGCAAGAACCCCCCAAUCGCUUAUUUUCACGCCCCAACCUCUUAUCUCUGUGCCCCAAUCCCUUAUUUCCACGCCCCAAUCUCUUAUCUCUGCGCCCCAAUCCCUUAUUUCCGCGCCCCAACCCUUUCUCUGCUUUUCUGGAGGGGAAGAAACCCCCACCCCUUCUCCGUGUCUCUACUCUUUUCUCUGGGCUUGCCUCCUUCACUAUGGGCAAGCUUCCACCUUCCAUUCCUUUCUUCUCCCUUAGCAUGUAUUCUUAAGAACUUAAAAUCUCUUCAAUUCUCACCUGACCUAAAAUCUAAGCGUCUUAUUUUCUUCUGCAAUGCCACUUGACCCCAAUACAAACUCAACAGUAGUUCCAAAUAGCCAGAAAAUGGCACUUUCAAUUUUUCCACCCUACAAGAUCUAAAUAAUUCUUGGCGUAAAAUGGGCAAAUGGUGUGAGGUGCCUGACGUCCAGGCAUUCUUUUACACAUCAGUCCCUUCCUAGUCUCUGUGCCCAGUGCAACUCGUCCCAAAUCUUCCUUCUUUCCCUCCCGCCUGUCCCCUCAGUACCAACCCCAAGCGUCACUGAGUCUUUCUAAUCUUCCUUUUCUACAGACCCAUCUGACCUCUCCCUUCCUCCCCAGGCUGCUCCUUGCCAGGCCGAGCUAGGUCCCAAUUCUUCCUCAGCCUCUGCUCCUCCACCCUAUAAUCUUUUUAUCACCUCCCCUCCUCACACCUGCUCCGGCUUACAGUUUCAUUCCGUGACUAGCCCUCCCCGACCUGCCCAGCAAUUUAUUCUUAAAAAGGUGGCUGGAGCUAAACGCAUAGUCAAGGUUAAUGCUCCUUUUUCUUUAUCCCAAAUCAGAUAGUGUUUAGGCUCUUUUUCAUCAAAUAUAAAAAUCUAGCCCAGUUCAUGGCUCGUUUGGCAGCAACCCUAAGACACUUUACAGCCCUAGCCCCUAAAAGGUCAAAAGGCCAUCUUAUUCUCAAUAUACAUUUUAUUACCCAAUCUGCUCCCGACAUUAAAUAAAACUCCAAAAACUGGAAUCUGGCCCUCAAACCCCACAACAGGACUUAAUUAACCUCACCUUCAAGGUGUGAAAUAACAGAAAAAAGUUGCAAUUCCUUGCCUCCACUGUGAGACAAACCCCAGCCACAUCUCCAGCACACAAGAACUUCCAAACGCCUGAACUGUAGCAGCCAGACGUUUCUCCAGAACCUCCUCCCCCAGGAACUUGCUACACAUGCCGGAAAUCUGGCCACUGGGCCAAGGAACGCCCGCAGCCCGGGAUUCCUCCUAAGCCGCGUCCCAUCUGUGUGGGACCCCACUGAAAAUCGGACUGUUCAACUCACCUGGCAGCCACUCCCAGAGCUCCUGGAACUCUGGCCCAAGGUUCUCUGACUGACUCCUUCUUGGCUUACUGGCUGAAGACUGACGCUGCCUGAUCGCCUCAGAAGCCCCGCAGACCAUCAUGGACGCCGAGCUUUAGCCCGCCUGCACCCAGGUGAAAUAAACAGCCUUGUUGCUCACACAAAGCCUGUUUGGUGGUCUCUUCACACAGACGCGCAUGAAAGGGAAGACAUACAAAAACAAGGCCUCUGAGGUAGGUACUACUGAGACAGCCAGGUGGGAAGGACUCCUUGGCAAAACUCCAACCAGCCUGUACACUGGGAGGAAUGUGCACUGGGAUGGAGCCAUAGAAGUUUGUGUCGUUUGCAGUGGGGAGGAGCCUGGUCCCUCCUCUUCCUGUGAGGAACCUGGAAUUCAAUCUGUGAGGAACUUCUUGAAAGACCCAUCAAUUCUUCAAUAGAAAGCAUCAAAGGACAAUUUACACCCUAAGACUGAACCCCUGACCUCAAAAUCUUUCCCUUGCUAUGUUCACCAACCUCAACAGAAAUAUUAGGAUUCUUACCUGAUCCUAGCCAAGCCCCCUCCCUCAUCUCCCAUUAAAGGGUCCAUCUUCAACCAAACUUAAGUCUCAAUAAAUAUCUGGACAUUGUCCUUCCAACUCUGGGAAGCUGCUAAGACUCUGUCCUUACUGCAGAAGAAAAAACAGCCUUGUACCCUGGUCUUCUCAACAGGUUGUUCUGGAGAUGUUCUGGGGAGACUGCAUUAAACACAGCUUCGCACCAUUGAAUAAACUCAGCAACAAGCCAAUGCAUAAAAGUAAUCUAUGCUUCAGGUCACAGAAGCUUCAAGGGGAAAAAAACAGAAUACUCUAGGGCCAUUGUUCACAAACUCAUCUGAAAACAUCCUGGAAAAAUUUUCCCAAACACAUGGAAAGAAAGAGAGGAAAAAAGAAGAUAUCUGAAUAAUGUGGACUAGAAUAAAGAGCUGCCAGGAGCUGUUUAUUUAAAAACAGUACUUUCUUCUCUGGCUGAGUCCCUGGUAUUCUCUGCUGCAAUCUGUAGCUGUAGAAUUUUGAAGAAUGCAAUUAAAUUCAAAUGGUUUGAUGAGUAAUA